CGGCGCUGCUCCGGGAGCCGGCUCUGCUGCAGGUGCGAGAUCUGAGCCAGCGAGGGCGCGGCGUGGGGGAGGCGCGAGUCAGCUCCUUGGCUUGGGUGGGCCCCUCUCCGCCUCUCCGCUCUACGCAUGCGCUCCUACCUGAGCCGAGCCUACAAUCCAAACCUCCUUCGCCCAACUCUGCCCGCCACAGAUGCCCCUGGGCUCCCCUCCAGACCCUACCCCGCAUCCCCGCCAGCCUGAAGCUCCUGCGCACCUGGGCUGGGGGAGCCGGUCGGCACCCCCGGAGUCGGAGCAUAACCGCCGCUCGGAGUUGCCACAGCGACGGGGAGGAUCUCGAUGGAGACAGCAUCCCCCGGCCCCCGCAGGAUACGGAUUAACCCCUUCUCCUCCAGCUCCUCCACCUUCAGCUCCAGGGCCGAGGGCCGCGUCGGGGCAGCGGGAGGCGCUUUCUCAGGCUCUGGGGGACGCCUGGAGGCGCCCAUGGCGGUCGAUUCGCUGAAGCGCUCCUACGAACCCCACGGGAGGGGUCAGUGCCCACCAGCAGGCUCCUUGGCACCAAGCCCCCAUCCUCUUCCCGGGGUGGAGGGAGAUGUCAAGCCUAGAAGCCUCAGCUGGCCUGUUCUUGGGCGCCUGGCCUACCACCCGCCCCAGCCUCACCCGCAGGGUCUCCAACUCCUUGCGCGCCUGGCUUAGCUGUUUUUCCAGUUCUGCAAUCUUGGCCAUGGAUUCGUUCUCCGCGUCCCGAAGCCGCUCUGUCAGCUGUAGCACCAGCACAUGUUCCUCCAUGUGCUCCAGCACAGCGUUCUUGGUCUCUGUGUCCUCCAGCAGCGCCCCCACAUCAAAAAUAUUGUCCAGGUACGCCUGGAUCUGCACCUGCAGCUUGUCACUCUCGGUGAGCCGAAGCCUCUGUCCCCCAGAUGGAAGGAGUGGGGUGAGGCCUGGUGUGUGUUGGGGGGGGAGUCUUUCCAAACCACCCCCCUGCCACCACUGCCAUCCAGAGGAAGGGGCCUGAGCCCUAGCCUACUUUUUCUUUAUUUUUUAAGAUACAAUUCACAAAUCAUAAAAUCCAUUUAAAGUGUACAAUUCAGUCAUUCUUAGUAUAGCCACAAGGUUGUGCAACCAUCACCAUUAUCUAAUUCCAGAACAUUGUCAUCAGCCCAAAAAGAAACCCCAUAGGCGUCAGCAGUCACUUGCCAUUCUCUCCUCCCCCAGUCCCUGGCAACCACUAAUCUACUUUCCAUCUUUAUGGAUUUACCCAUUCUGGACAUUUCAUAUAAAGCAAUCAUAGAUAGCUGGGUGAGGUGGCUCAUGCCUGUAAUCCCAGCACUGUGGGAGGCUGAGGCAGACGGAUCACCUAAGGUCAGGAGUUCAAGACCAACCUGGCCAACGUGGUGAAACCCCCGUCUCUACCAAAAAUACAAAAAUUAACCGAGUGUGGUGGUGGGCGCCUAUAAUCCCAACUACUGGGGAAGCUGGAAAAUCACUUGAACCCGGGAGGCAGAGGUUGCAGUGAGCCAAGAUCGUGUCACUGCACUCUAGCCUGGGCAACAGAGCAAGACUCCAUCUCAAAAAAAAAAAAAAAAAAAAGCAAUCAUAGAGUACGUGACCUUUUGUGUCUGGCUUCUUUCACUUAGCAUGUUUUCAAGGCUCACCCAUGUUGUACCAUGUGUCAAUACUUCAUUCCUUCUUGUGGCUGAAUAAUAUUCCAUUGCACAGAUAGACCCCCCCGCCAGCCUGCUCUCUACCUUUUGUUAAUCCUGGCUUUCAAAAAUCCAACCCCGAAAGCCCCGCUCCUCCAGGAAACCUCCCAAAGGAAGCAGAGAAGGAGCUGCAGCUUCUCUGCUCAGCCUGGGCCAGGAAGCACCAAGCAGCUCUGCCCACCUUCCCCAGGGCAGGGAACUCCUCCAUGUCCUGGGCCCAUCCAGCAUGAGCCAACUCCUGCUUCUACCCUGUAUCUCUGGGUUCCCCGUUAUAUGCUGGAGUCAGAGCACCUGUCUGAGGCUGGUGCUCCCAGAGCCAGACUCUGGGCCACCUUGACCUGUUCUGGUGCCUGCAAAAACAGUUCCAUAGACUGGGGGCCUGGUAUGUGCCAGGCACUGGUCUAUGCAUUUAGAGUCAAGAUUAUCUUCUAUGAUUCUCCUAUUUGACAGAUGGCAAAACUGACACUGAGAGAGAGGAAGAGGCCUAUCCAAGGUCACAUGGCAGGAAAUGGCAGAGCCAGGAUUUAAACCCAGGUCUGCCUGACCCCAGCACUCAUGCUGCUAACCACUCAGCCAUACUCUGCCGUGGGCAGGCAGUUCAGUCUGGGGGGCAGUACAGGGCUUACCUCCAAGUACAGGUCCAGGCCCAAGUGGGUGAACUCAUAUUGCAGGAAGACACGGAAGUUCAUGUUCUCCACCGAAUGUACCACAAUGUUGAUGAACUGCAUGCAGGCCACCUGGGAGCCAGGGACAUGGGGAGAUCUAUGAUCCUCUAGGUGGGGUUGCUCAAUGCCUUCCACCUCCACUUACCCCAAGCCUCCCUCCUUCUCCACAGUUCUCACUCCACUAACUCCCAGCCUUGGCCUGCCUAACAUUUCACCUCCAUGUUCCCUCAAUCCAGCCCCCUGCCAACCUCCACCCUUCCCCUACUGACCACUCAGUCCUUACGCUUUGCGGGGGCAGAGCCCAUUGCCCAGCACCCAGGACCCUAGCUGCUCCCUGCACCCAAGAGGGCCUGGCCCAGGCCUCAGGCUGCUGGGCUCCUGAGCUCACCAUGAAGUCGAUGUUGCUGUCCUCAUUCCGGAAAUAUUCCAUCAGCUUUUCAAAGCGGUGCUGCUCCCCACACACCUGGGUAAGGGGAAUGGCUCUCACUGAGGCCCAGUGACACAUGUCCUAAGCUACCUUCUGGCUGCCACACCUGUGCUUCAACAGGCUCCUCUCCAGUUAAUUCUAAGUUGAGCCACGUCACUCUUCUGCUCAAAACCUCCACUCCCUCUCAAUCUCCCACUCUCCCUCACUUUUUCCACUCUGGCUACACUGGCAUCCUGGCACAUUCCCACCCCAGGGCCUUUGCACUUACUGUUCCAACUCCCUGGAGUGCCCUCACUCCCACACCAAGUCCCUUGCUUCCUUCACAGUUUUGCUGAAAUCUCACUUGCUCAGUGAGGCCUUCCCUGACCACCCUGCAACCAAUUCCCCCUCCCUCUGCAACAUUGCUGGCUUUUUUCUCACAGCAUUUAUCAUUUCCUAACAUACUAUGUAAUGUGCUUGUUUAUUAUAUCAUUUCUGUCUUUCCCUAUAUGGUUUCCUUUGUUCACUGAUGUGCCCAAGUGCCCUGUUCCUGACACAUAGUAGGCACUCAAUAAAUAUUCAUUAAAGGAAUGAAUGAAUGAAGAUAUCUUGUCUUAUGCAUCUUAUGCAGCCCCACACAUCUACUUCUUGCAAGCCUCUUAGCCAGAGUCUGCAACUCCUGGAGGUAUGAACCAAGGCUAGUUUGGAUCUGGCAAGGCUGAGGUUCAGCAGGUCCCUGUAGUUGUCCCUACCCCCACCCAGGUGGUGCCCUUACCUGACCCUGUACCUUCCAUUCAGAUUGCUGAGCCAGUGAUGUGGCUCAACUUCAACUUUUGGGCGUUCCCCAAAUGCCCACCCAAUGUCCCCAGCUGCCUCUAGCAAAGGCCACAACUGCCAACAACAAGACUCCAAGCAACACCAUAGGGGGAAAUGCAUGUUUGGGUGAGGGACUCCGGUACCUCCUUGAAGUUGUCAAAGGCUGCAAGGAUGAUGUCAUGUCCUCCCCGCACCAAGCACACGGCCGCCAGCAGCUCCAGCACCAGAGCCUUGGUUCUGGAGAGAGAAGGGGCAGGUUGUCCCUUGAGAACAGUCAGGACCCGCAGCAAGGGU
rnacentral:lncRNA from 1 species